rnacentral:rRNA from 1 species
CCUACGGGUGGCAGCAGUGAGGAAUAUUGGUCAAUGGGCGCGAGCCUGAACCAGCCAAGUAGCGUGAAGGAUGACUGCCCUACGGGUUGUAAACUUCUUUUAUAAAGGAAUAAAGCGAGGCACGUGUGCGGCUUUGUAUGUACUUUAUGAAUAAGGAUCGGCUAAUUCCGGGCCAGCAGCCGCGGUAAUACGGAGGGGGCAAGCGUUAUCCGGAUUGAUUGGGUGUAAAGGGAGCGUAGGCGGUUUGACAAGUUUGUUGCGAAACGCCCGGGCUCAACCCGGGCACUACAGCGGAAACUGGCGAACUUGAGUGCGGGAGGGGCAAGCGGAAUUCGUAGUGUAGCGGUGGAAUGCGUAGAUAUUAGGAGGAACACCGGUGGCGAAGGCGGUUUGCUGGACUGUAACUGACGCUGAGGCACGAAAGCGUGGGGAUCGAACAGGAUUAGAUACCCGUGUAGUC